GCAACACAAAGAACAGAACUCAUUCCUGCUCUUUUUAAAACUUAUUUGCUUAAACUCCACUUUGCGAAGUAAUGUUUCAAAGCAGCUUGCAUUAAGAAGAUUUGAUGCAUAUAGUAAAAAAACAGAAAGAUCAUCUAUAAAAUGAGAACAAUGAUAUCCAACUUAUUUCUAAUGACUGAGAUUAAGAAGAAAUUGAUCAACCAGAUAAUCUUCCACUCAGAUGCAUCCCUGAGACAUUCUUCUCUCCCUGAGGUAUAUCCACAGAAGACAAGAGAAGUCACAGAAGGCAUCAUUCAGUCACCAAAGGGGCUACAAUAGUCGCACAUUUUAAGAGAAUUGCAACUUCUGUAGAAGAGGGGACGAAAGGAAGUUAUUAUAAAAUGGCCCAGUCUUUAAAAGGAUUCAACAUGGAAAUUGUGUGCUGAAUUUUGGAGCAUUCCUAAUGAUUUGUCUCUGGUAGUAAGCAAAAGUUUAUUAGAAAUGAUAACCAUUAAACCAGGGAUAUACACAUACUGCUGAACUCUUACUUCCCCCAUCCUUAUUUAAAAUAUCUGAAAGAUGAUAGGAGCUGUAGUCGAAGGGAUGGAAUGUUUUUCAUCUAAUAGUCAUAGAUAUUUUCAUAUGAUUAAUGUUGGUCAUACUAAUAAUGUAGGUCAUCUCA